AAGUGAUGAAAGUGGGUGUCCUUAUCUUGUUCCAAUUCUCAGUGGCAAUGCUUUAAACCUGUCCCCAUUCAGUAUGUUUGCUGUGGGCUUGUCACACAUGACUUUCGUUACUUUGAGAUUCCGGUGCAGUCCUCUGACCAUAUUGGGAAGGAUAUGUAAAAUGAUACGAGUUUCAGGGAAUAAGAAUGGGGGUGAGAGGAAUCACUGAGGAUGCCCAAGGACAAAGCAGCCGGAACAAGUAAGGACAGAGUGAGAAAACAGCCAUCUGGAAGCUAUGAAGAGAACCCUCACCAGAACCCCAACAUGCUGGCACCCUGAUCUUGGACUUUCAGCUGCCAGAAGUGUGAGAAAAUAAAUUUCUGUUGUUUAAGCCACCCAGUCUAUGCAAUAUUGUUAUGAUCCGAGA
rnacentral:lncRNA from 10 species